GUAGAACCUUUAAACUCAUAUUUGGCUUCCCUUUGCAAAUUUACUAUCAGUUUUCCCAAUGAAGCAGACAGAAGAAGUAGUUUGUCACAAUCUCCUGGGCCAAAGCGAUCAGAAUCAUUGGUAGAUCAGAAGGAUAACAUUGUCCUUACUCCCAAAAAUGUGCAGGCCUUAAGGACUCUCUUCAAUAUUGCUCAUCGAUUACACAAUGUAUUAGGUCCAUCUUGGGUUUUGGUAUGUUUGCUUACUCUUAACAAUU